UUUUCUAUAGUUGAAUAACAACGGUGGUUUUUCAAGCCAUUAGUCUUGGUUAGAUUCCGGGUAGAAAUA
rnacentral:tRNA from 1 species